rfam:Solanum tuberosum cultivar DM 1-3 516 R44 scf00300_18, whole genome shotgun sequence.
AAAUUAAGAGCAUGUCAAGAUAGCCAGGAUAACUUGCCUACAACCAAAUAAAAAAUAUUAUCAAAUGGAGUAGGCAAGUCAUCCUUGGCUACUAAACAAUACUCUCAACU